GGGUUGUGAGGUUAAGCGACUAAGCGUACACGGUGGAUGCCCUGGCAGUCAGAGGCGAUGAAGGACGUGCUAAUCUGCGAUAAGCGUCGGUGAGGUGAUAUGAACCGUUAUAACCGGCGAUUUCCGAAUGGGGAAACCCAGUGUGUUUCGACACACUAUCAUUAACUGAAUCCAUAGGUUAAUGAGGCGAACCGGGGGAACUGAAACAUCUAAGUACCCCGAGGAAAAGAAAUCAACCGAGAUUCCCCCAGUAGCGGCGAGCGAACGGGGAGGAGCCCAGAGCCUGAAUCAGUGUGUGUGUUAGUGGAAGCGUCUGGAAAGGCGCGCGAUACAGGGUGACAGCCCCGUACACAAAAAUGCACAUAUUGUGAGCUCGAUGAGUAGGGCGGGACACGUGGUAUCCUGUCUGAAUAUGGGGGGACCAUCCUCCAAGGCUAAAUACUCCUGACUGACCGAUAGUGAACCAGUACCGUGAGGGAAAGGCGAAAAGAACCCCGGCGAGGGGAGUGAAAAAGAACCUGAAACCGUGUACGUACAAGCAGUGGGAGCCUCUUAAUGGGGUGACUGCGUACCUUUUGUAUAAUGGGUCAGCGACUUAUAUUCUGUAGCAAGGUUAACCGAAUAGGGGAGCCGAAGGGAAACCGAGUCUUAACUGGGCGUUAAGUUGCAGGGUAUAGACCCGAAACCCGGUGAUCUAGCCAUGGGCAGGUUGAAGGUUGGGUAACACUAACUGGAGGACCGAACCGACUAAUGUUGAAAAAUUAGCGGAUGACUUGUGGCUGGGGGUGAAAGGCCAAUCAAACCGGGAGAUAGCUGGUUCUCCCCGAAAGCUAUUUAGGUAGCGCCUCGUGAAUUCAUCUCCGGGGGUAGAGCACUGUUUCGGCAAGGGGGUCAUCCCGACUUACCAACCCGAUGCAAACUGCGAAUACCGGAGAAUGUUAUCACGGGAGACACACGGCGGGUGCUAACGUCCGUCGUGAAGAGGGAAACAACCCAGACCGCCAGCUAAGGUCCCAAAGUCAUGGUUAAGUGGGAAACGAUGUGGGAAGGCCCAGACAGCCAGGAUGUUGGCUUAGAAGCAGCCAUCAUUUAAAGAAAGCGUAAUAGCUCACUGGUCGAGUCGGCCUGCGCGGAAGAUG
rnacentral:rRNA from 1 species